ACAUAUGUAUUGUAUGUAGUAUUGCAUUACUAGCCUAUUCUAAUUUGGUUUGUUCUAUUGACAUGGAAUGAAUGAACAGGCACACGUUACUAUGGAGUAGGUCUACUUCACAAUUCAGAUUUUCAGAUGAUGCGUUGUGGCUGACAACGGCCCUAAAAUCUCGAGUGUCUAGGUUUAUUGUUGGUUCCUGGUUGCUGUAGUGCAAUGAUGUCAUCUGCUGGCCGUGCCGCGCAAUAGCGUCACAACAUAUGUAAUUUCACUGGACAUUACGUCAAUGGGCGCCGGGAUUCGGCCAAUGGCGGCGUCCAAAGAAUCUUUUGCCGGAUAGCAUGACGGCGGUCAUAUCAGCUCAGGAGCUGCACUGAAAGACCCAUCAUCCAAAGGCAGAAGGACUCCCGGAUUCUGUCGGAUUGAAACAAGUGUUGCCUGAAUAAAUUGUGCGUCAUUCUCGUCUGCAAUUCCA